GACGAACGCUGGCGGCGUGCUUAACACAUGCAAGUCGAACGGAAAGGCCCUGCUUUUGUGGGGUGCUCGAGUGGCGAACGGGUGAGUAACACGUGAGUAACCUGCCCUUGACUUUGGGAUAACUUCAGGAAACUGGGGCUAAUACCGUAUAGGAGCUCCUGCUGCAUGGUGGGGGUUGGAAAGUUUCGGCGGUUGGGGAUGGACUCGCGGCUUAUCAGCUUGUUGGUGGGGUAGUGGCUUACCAAGGCUUUGACGGGUAGCCGGCCUGAGAGGGUGACCGGCCACAUUGGGACUGAGAGACGGCCCAGACUCCUACGGGAGGCAGCAGUGGGGAAUAUUGCACAAUGGGCGGAAGCCUGAUGCAGCAACGCCGCGUGCGGGAUGACGGCCUUCGGGUUGUAAACCGCUUUCGCCUGUGACGAAGCGUGAGUGACGGUAAUGGGUAAAGAAGCACCGGCUAACUACGUG
rnacentral:rRNA from 1 species